AGCUCCAAUAGCGUAUAUUAAAGUUGUUGCGGUUAAAAAGCUCGUAGUUGGAUCUCGGCGGGCAGGGCGCGGUUCGGUGCUAGCCGCUACUGCGCUUGUGUUGCCCGCGACUUGCGUCCGGAGGCCGGCGGGUGCUCUUAACCGAGUGUCCGCCCGGCGCCGGCGGGUUUACUUUGAAAAAAUUAGAGUGCUCAAAGCAGGCCUUGACACGCCUGGAUAUUCGUGCAUGGAAUAAUGGAAUAGGACGUCGUUUCUAUUUUGUUGGUUUUCGGAGAUCGACGUAAUGAUUAACAGGGACGGUCGGGGGCAUUGGUAUUCAGGCGCCAGAGGUGAAAUUCUUAGACCGCCUGAAGACCAACUACUGCGAAAGCAUUUGCCAAGAAUGUUUUCA
rnacentral:rRNA from 1 species